AUUUCCCUACGGGGGGCAGCAGUGGGGAAUAUUGCACAAUGGGGGAAACCCUGAUGCAGCAACGCCGCGUGAGUGAUGACGGCCUUCGGGUUGUAAAGCUCUGUCUUCAGGGACGAUAAUGACGGUACCUGAGGAGGAAGCCACGGCUAACUACGUGCCAGCAGCCGCGGUCAUACGUAGGUGGCGAGCGUUGUCCGGAUUUACUGGGCGUAAAGGGAGCGUAGGCGGGCUUUUAAGUGAUAUGU
rnacentral:rRNA from 1 species